rnacentral:rRNA from 1 species
GUCGAACGGCAGCACGGGAGCAAUCCUGGUGGCGAGUGGCGAACGGGUGAGUAAUAUAUCGGAACGUGCCCAAUCGUGGGGGAUAACGCAGCGAAAGCUGUGCUAAUACCGCAUAUGAUCUAUGGAUGAAAGCGGGGGAUCGCAAGACCUCGCGCGAAUGGAGCGGCCGAUAUCAGAUUAGCUAGUUGGUGGGGUAAAAGCUCACCAAGGCGACGAUCUGUAGCUGGUCUGAGAGGACGACCAGCCACACUGGAACUGAGACACGGUCCAGACUCCUACGGGAGGCAGCAGUGGGGAAUUUUGGACAAUGGGCGAAAGCCUGAUCCAGCAAUGCCGCGUGCAGGAUGAAGGCCUUCGGGUUGUAAACUGCUUUUGUACGGAGCGAAACGGUUAUCUCUAAUAAAGAUGGCUAAUGACGGUACCGUAAGAAUAAGCACCGGCUAACUACGUGCCAGCAGCCGCGGUAAUACGUAGGGUGCGAGCGUUAAUCGGAAUUACUGGGCGUAAAGCGUGCGCAGGCGGUUUUGUAAGACAGAGGUGAAAUCCCCGGGCUCAACCUGGGAACUGCCUUUGUGACUGCAAGGCUAGAGUACGGCAGAGGGGGAUGGAAUUCCGCGUGUAGCAGUGAAAUGCGUAGAUAUGCGGAGGAACACCGAUGGCGAAGGCAAUCCCCUGGGCCUGUACUGACGCUCAUGCACGAAAGCGUGGGGAGCAAACAGGAUUAGAUACCCUGGUAGUCCACGCCCUAAACGAUGUCAACUGGUUGUUGGGAAUUAACUUUCUCAGUAACGAAGCUAACGCGUGAAGUUGACCGCCUGGG